AGUGCUGCGCUUCGCGGCAGAGGCGUCUGCGGUGACAGCUCAGUCAGUUGAGCUCUGUGUGCCAGGCGCUCGCGAGGGGGUAGCUCUUCUAGUAGUGCUCGGCGUCAGACAUGGCGGAGGCGAUGGAUUUGGGCAAAGACCCCAACGGGCCCACCCAUUCCUCGACUCUGUUCGUGAGGGACGACGGCAGCUCCAUGUCCUUCUACGUGCGGCCCAGCCCGGCCAAGCGUCGGCUGUCGACGCUCAUCCUGCACGGCGGCGGCACCGUGUGCCGAGUGCAGGAGCCCGGGGCCGUGCUGCUGGCCCAGCCCGGGGAGGCGCUGGCCGAGGCCUCGGGUGAUUUCAUCUCCACGCAGUACAUCCUGGACUGCGUGGAGCGCAACGAGAGGCUGGAGCUGGAGGCCUAUCGGCUGGGCCCCGCCUCGGCGGCGGACACCGGCUCGGAAGCAAAGCCCGGGGCCCUGGCCGAGGGCGCCGCGGAGCCGGAGCCGCAGCGGCACGCCGGGCGGAUCGCCUUCACGGAUGCGGACGACGUAGCCAUCCUUACCUACGUGAAGGAAAAUGCCCGCUCGCCCAGCUCCGUCACCGGUAACGCCUUGUGGAAAGCGAUGGAGAAGAGCUCGCUCACGCAGCACUCGUGGCAGUCCCUGAAGGACCGCUACCUCAAGCACCUGCGGGGCCAGGAGCAUAAGUACCUGCUGGGGGACGCGCCGGUGAGCCCCUCCUCCCAGAAGCUCAAGCGGAAGGCGGAGGAGGACCCGGAGGCCGCGGAUAGCGGGGGUGAGGAGGCUGAGCGCGGGGCCUCGCGGAUAUCUGCGCGGGUGGGGUUGGGAUCUUUCUCCUGGCUGCCUGGCGUCCAUCUUGGCAUCUUCGGUAGCAGCGCUUGGCCCCGCCCCCUGUUGACAUCCGGAACCACAGAAUAAGAGAACUCCAGAUUUGCCUGAAGAAGAGUAUGUGAAGGAAGAAAUCCAGGAGAAUGAAGAAGCAGUCAAAAAGAUGCUUGUGGAAGCCACCCGGGAGUUUGAGGAGGUUGUGGUGGAUGAGAGCCCUCCUGAUUUUGAAAUACAUAUAACUAUGUGUGAUGAUGAUCCACCCACACCUGAGGAAGACUCAGAAACACAGCCUGAUGAGGAGGAAGAAGAAGAAGAAGAAAAAGUUUCUCAACCAGAGGUGGGAGCUGCCAUUAAGAUCAUUCGGCAGUUAAUGGAGAAGUUUAACUUGGAUCUAUCAACAGUUACACAGGCCUUCCUAAAAAAUAGUGGUGAGCUGGAGGCUACUUCCGCCUUCUUAGCGUCUGGUCAGAGAGCUGAUGGAUAUCCCAUUUGGUCCCGACAAGAUGACAUAGAUUUGCAAAAAGAUGAUGAGGAUACCAGAGAGGCAUUGGUCAAAAAAUUUGGUGCUCAGAAUGUAGCUCGGAGGAUUGAAUUUCGAAAGAAAUAAUUGGCAAGAUAAUGAGAAAAGAAAAAAGUCAUGGUAGGUGAGGUGGUUAAAAAAAAUUGUGACCAAUGAACUUUAGAGAGUUCUUGCAUUGGAACUGGCACUUAUUUUCUGACCAUCGCUGCUGUUGCUCUGUGAGUCCUAGAUUUUUGUAGCCAAGCAGAGUUGUAGAGGGGGAUAAAAAGAAAAGAAAUUGGAUGUAUUUACAGCUGUCCUUGAACAAGUAUCAAUGUGUUUAUGAAAGGAAGAUCUAAAUCAGACAGGAGUUGGUCUACAUAGUAGUAAUCCAUUGUUGGAAUGGAACCCUUGCUAUAGUAGUGACAAAGUGAAAGGAAAUUUAGGAGGCAUAGGCCAUUUCAGGCAGCAUAAGUAAUCUCCUGUCCUUUGGCAGAAGCUCCUUUAGAUUGGGAUAGAUUCCAAAUAAAGAAUCUAGAAAUAGGAGAAGAUUUAAUUAUGAGGCCUUGAACACGGAUUAUCCCCAAACCCUUGUCAUUUCCCCCAGUGAGCUCUGAUUUCUAGACUGCUUUGAAAAUGCUGUAUUCAUUUUGCUAACUUAGUAUUUGGGUACCCUGCUCUUUGGCUGUUCUUUUUUUGGAGCCCUUCUCAGUCAAGUCUGCCGGAUGUCUUUCUUUACCUACCCCUCAGUUUUCCUUAAAACGCGCACACAACUCUAGAGAGUGUUAAGAAUAAUGUUACUUGGUUAAUGUGUUAUUUAUUGAGUAUUGUUUGUGCUAAGCAUUGUGUUAGAUUUAAAAAAUUAGUGGAUUGACUCCACUUUGUUGUGUUGUUUUCAUUGUUGAAAAUAAAUAUAACUUUGUAUUCGA